ACCAGGAACUGUGCUUCGGCAAGCACAUUUUCAAGGACAUUGUUUAAUUCGUGGUGUGUAGUAAGUUUGUCCACUUUUAGUAAUCACAAUACUCGUUGAGAAGUCUUAUGAUCAACCAGUGAUUGAUCAACGACACCAUAGGCAAACUUUUGUGAUAACUGUGAACUCAGUAAAGGCAAAAUCGAGAACUUCAACUGCUGUUCCUAUCACUCCUGCGUAAGUGAACGCCUGUCAAGUUCAAGGAGAGUUUGUCAAUUACGUUGGAUAUACCCCAACCUACGGGGUUGUCAUGAAUUAACCAGGCUGAUAAGGAUUGAGCUCACCUUACUGAAAGUGAACUUAGAGCAAGAACAGAUACAUGUCACUGUUUAAAGAGGGCAGGUCCAUCAAAUCUUGAAGGUGGAAAUAGAUUCUGUCAGCAUGG